GACCAAGAAUUACAUGUCUUGCCUUGUUGCAGCCGUUUAUGCCACCUCGUCGGUGAUAGACUCCGUGAGAAGGGCGCAAGAGCAGAACUCACGCAAUUUGCUCGAGAGAGCGACGCAAGUUUGCAGAAGCAAACUAGUCGAAGCGGAAAUGGUCAUCGUAGAUGGGGAUCCAAAGGAGAUGAUAUGCCAGUUCGCGGAACAAAUGCAAGCCGACCUCCUUGUGGUGGGGAGUCGCGGUCUAAGUAAGAUCAGGAGGGCAAUCCUGGGCAGCGUGAGCGACUACUGUGCUCAUCACGCAACAUGUCCCGUCCUUAUCGUGAAGCCACCCAAGGGAAAUCAUCCGUAG